rnacentral:rRNA from 1 species
AGUGAACGCUGGCGGUAGGCCUAACACAUGCAAGUCGAACGGCAGCACAGUAAGAGCUUGCUCUUACGGGUGGCGAGUGGCGGACGGGUGAGGAAUACAUCGGAAUCUACUUUUUCGUGGGGGAUAACGUAGGGAAACUUACGCUAAUACCGCAUACGACCUACGGGUGAAAGCAGGGGAUCUUCGGACCUUGCGCGAUUGAAUGAGCCGAUGUCGGAUUAGCUAGUUGGCGGGGUAAAGGCCCACCAAGGCGACGAUCCGUAGCUGGUCUGAGAGGAUGAUCAGCCACACUGGAACUGAGACACGGUCCAGGCUCCGACGGGAGGCAGCAGUGGGGAAUAUUGGACAAUGGGCGCAAGCCUGAACCAGCCAUACCGCGUGGGUGAAGAAGGCCUGCGGGUUGUAAAGCCCUUUUGUUGGGAAAGAAAAGUAGCAGGUUAAUACCCCGCUGUUCUGACGGUACCCAAAGAAUAAGCACCGGCUAACUUCGG